rnacentral:lncRNA from 1 species
AGGGCCUGCUAUCUGGUGACUCUCCAUCUAGUACCAUGGCCUCCUCGAUGUUUACAUAUUUCUCUACUCAGGCCAAUACUUCAACGAAAUCCUUGAGGUACCUCUUUUCCGAAGAGGAAUAAGUUUUUUGCGAAGUUCGUCCUUGAGCACGAACAUGAUGACCAACUAUUCUAGAUCACUGACUUUCAAUGUGGCUGCAUUGAAAUGGCUUACAUAGUUUUCGAGAGAUUUGCCUUCCUUCUGCUUGAUGUUGA